GAAAUGCGAUAAGUAAUGUGAAUUGCAGAAUUCAGUGAAUCAUCGAAUCUUUGAACGCACAUUGCGCCCUCUGGUAUUCCGGGGGGCAUGCCUGUUCGAGCGUCAUUAUAACCACUCAAGCUCUCGCUUGGUCUUGGGGUUCGCGGUUCCGCGGCCCCUAAAAUCAGUGGCGGUGGCCUGCCAGAACCCCAAACUCAUGUGGUUGACCUCGGAUCAGGUAGGGAUACCCGCUGAACUUAA
rnacentral:misc_RNA from 1 species